UACGUAGGUGGCAAGCGUUGUCCGGAUUUACUGGGCGUAAAGAGCGCGCAGGCGGUCGUAUAAGUCGAAUGUGAAAGCCCCCGGCUCAACUGGGGAGGGUCAUUCGAUACUGUUCGACUCGAAGGCAGGAGAGGGAAGUGGAAUUCCGGGUGUAGUGGUGAAAUGCGUAGAUAUCAGGAGGAACACCUGUGGUGUAGACGGCUCUCUGGACCGCAACUGACGCUGAGACACGAAAGCGUGGGUAGCAAACAGG
rnacentral:rRNA from 1 species